UUAACUUAUUAUAUGGUACUCAGACGACAUUGAUAUUCAGAGUUUAGAUUUCCUCUGACGGGCACUCACCAGCCGGAGCCGGUGGAGAGCUGACGCUCCGCGUCCCGCCAAAGCAACAAAGGUAAGUACACAAAGGGUGGGAGGUCUUACCCCAUAUGGGGCAUUACUCUGUAAUGAUCCUUCCGCAGGUUCACCUACGGAAA
rnacentral:misc_RNA from 1 species